GUGCUCGCUUCGGCAGCACAUAUACUAAAAUUGGAACGAUACAGAGAAGAUUAGCAUGGUUACUGUUACGUAAGGCAUGAUGCGUGAAACUAAGGCAGCCAUCUUCA
ensembl:snRNA U6 U6 spliceosomal RNA